rnacentral:tRNA from 1 species
GCCGGCAUGGCUCCGUGGUUGAGCGUCGAACUAGGAACUAGGAGGUCAGGGUUUGAUUCCCUGUCAGGGCA